rnacentral:miRNA from 1 species
UAUGUUGUGUGUCUGUCUCAUACAGUGUGCGUAUAUCUCUACUAUACACACACACACACACACACACACUUUAUCGCUCAC